UUGUUGUGGUUAAAAAGCUCGUAGUUGGAUCUCAACAGCCUUGAAGCGGUUAACUUUGUAGUUUUACUGCUUUAUAGGCUGUGCUUUUGCUGGAGGUUUAGGGGUGCUCUUGAUCGAGUGUCUCUGGAUGCCAGCAGGUUUACUUUGAAAAAAUUAGAGUGCUCAAAGCAGGCUAAAAUGCCUGAAUAUUCGUGCAUGGAAUAAUAGAAUAGGAUGUCGAUCCUAUUUUGUUGGUUUUCGGGACUCGACAUAAUGAUAAAUAGGGACAGUCGGGGGCAUUUGUAUUCAAACGACAGAGGUGAAAUUCUUGGACCGUUUGAAGACAAACUACUGCGAAAGCAUUUGCCAAGAAUGUUUUCAUUAAUCAAGAACGAAAGUUAGAGGUUCGAAGGCGAUUAGAUACCGCCCUAGUUCUAACCAUAAACGAUGCCAGCUAGCGAUCUGCCUGCGUUUUUA
rnacentral:rRNA from 1 species